AGAACGAACGCUGGCGGCAUGCCUAAUACAUGCAAGUCGAACGAAGGCUUCGGCCUUAGUGGCGCACGGGUGCGUAACGCGUGGGAAUCUGCCCCUUGGUUCGGAAUAACAGUUGGAGACGACUGCUAAUACCGGAUGAUGACGAAAGUCCAAAGAUUUAUCGCCAAGGGAUGAGCCCGCGUAGGAUUAGCUAGUUGGUGAGGUAAAGGCUCACCAAGGCGACGAUCCUUAGCUGGUCUGAGAGGAUGAUCAGCCACACUGGGACUGAGACACGGCCCAGACCUCCGUACGGGAGGCAGCAGUAGGGAAUA
rnacentral:rRNA from 1 species